rnacentral:tRNA from 1 species
GGGGCUGUGGCUCAGAGGUAAAGCGCUCGCCUACCAUGUGUGAGGGUGGAUUCGAUUCCCAGUACCA